AUUAUACUCCCUCUGUCCCAAAUUUCUUGUCUUAGAUUUGUCUAGAUACGGAUGUAUCUAAUACUAAAAUGUGACUUGAUACAUCCGUAUCUAGACAAUGAUACAUCCGUAUCUAGACAAAUCUAAGACACAAAUUUUUGGGACGGAGGGAGUACAAU
rfam:Triticum aestivum genome assembly, contig: Triticum_aestivum_CS42_TGACv1_scaffold_280007_3DS